rnacentral:rRNA from 1 species
AGAGUUUGAUCCUGGCUCAGGAUGAACGCUAGCGGCAGGCUUAACACAUGCAAGUCGAGGGGUAACGAUUUCGAGCAAUCGAAAGGCGACGACCGGCGCACGGGUGAGUAACGCGUAUGCAACCUACCCCUAACUGGAGCAUAGCCCGGAGAAAUCCGGAUUAAUACUCCAUAACACUAUGAACUGGCAUCUUUUUAUAGUUAAAGUUCCGACGGAUAGAGAUGGGCAUGCGUGACAUUAGUUUGUUGGUGAGGUAACGGCUCACCAAGACUACGAUGUCUAGGGGGUCUGAGAGGAUGAUCCCCCACACUGGUACUGAGACACGGACCAGACUCCUACGGGAGGCAGCAGUGAGGAAUAUUGGGCAAUGGACGCAAGUCUGACCCAGCCAUGCCGCGUGCAGGAUGACAGCCCUACGGGUUGUAAACUGCUUUUAUUUGGGAAGAAACCCUUCGACGUGUCGGAGGUUGACGGUACCAAAAGAAUAAGCAUCGGCUAACUCCGUGCCAGCAGCCGCGGUAAUACGGAGGAUGCAAGCGUUAUCCGGAUUUAUUGGGUUUAAAGGGUGCGUAGGCGGGAAAUUAAGUCAGUGGUGAAAUCCUACAGCUUAACUGUAGAACUGCCAUUGAAACUGAUUUUCUUGAGUGCAGCUGAGGUGGGCGGAAUGUGUAAUGUAGCGGUGAAAUGCUUAGAUAUUACACAGAACACCAAUUGCGUAGGCAGCUCACUAAACUGUAACUGACGCUAAGGCACGAAAGCGUGGGGAGCGAACAGGAUUAGAUACCCUGGUAGUCCACGCUGUAAACGAUGAUCACUCGUUGUUGGCAAUACAUCGUCAGCGACUAAGCAAAAGCACUAAGUGAUCCACCUGGGGAGUACGAUCGCAAGAUUGAAACUCAAAGGAAUUGACGGGGGCCCGCACAAGCGGAGGAACAUGUGGUUUAAUUCGAUGAUACGCGAGGAACCUUACCUGGGCUUAAAUGCAGGACGAUUUUUCCCGAAAGGGAUUUUUCUUCGGACGGCCUGCAAGGUGCUGCAUGGUUGUCGUCAGCUCGUGCCGUGAGGUGUCGGGUUAAGUCCCAUAACGAGCGCAACCCUCAUCGUUAGUUGCCAUCGGGUAAUGCCGGGGACUCUAACGAAACUGCCGGUGUAAACCGUGAGGAAGGGGGAUGACGUCAAAUCAGCACGGCCCUUAUGUCCAGGGCUACACACGUGUUACAAUGGUCGGUACAAAGGGCAGCUACCUGGUAACAGGAUGCUAAUCUCGAAAACCGGUCUCAGUUCGGAUCGGAGUCUGCAACUCGACUUCGUGAAGUUGGAUUCGCUAGUAAUCGCGCAUCAGCCACGGCGCGGUGAAUACGUUCCUGGGCCUUGUACAC